GAUGAACGCUGGCGGCGUGCCUAACACAUGCAAGUCGAGCGAUGAUUUUCUCUUCGGAGAAAUGAUUAGCGGCGGACGGGUGAGUAACACGUGGGUAACCUGCCUCAUAGAGGGGAAUAGCCUUCCGAAAGGAAGAUUAAUACCGCAUAACAUUGUCGAGUGGCAUCACUUGAUAAUCAAAGGAGCAAUCCGCUAUGAGAUGGACCCGCGUCGCAUUAGUUAGUUGGUGGGGUAAUGGCCUACCAAGACGACGAUGCGUAGCCGACCUGAGAGGGUGAUCGGCACAUUGGGACUGAGACACGGCCCAGACUCCUACGGGAGGCUG
rnacentral:rRNA from 1 species